rnacentral:sRNA from 1 species
CACCGCCUGGGGAGUACGACCGCAAGGUUAAAACUCAAAUGAAUUGACGGGGACCCGCACAAGUAGUGGAGCAUGUGGUUUAAUUCGAAGAUACGCGCAGAACCUUACCAACACUUGACAUGUUCGUCGCGACUUUAAGAGAUUAAAGUUUUCGGUUCGGCCGGACGAAACACAGGUGCUGCAUGGCUGUCGUCAGCUCGUGUCGUGAGAUGUUGGGUUAAGUCCCGCAACGAGCGCAACCCUCACUUUUAGUUGCCAUCAUUUAGUUGGGCACUCUGAAAGAACUGCCAGUGAUAAGCUGGAGGAAGGUGGGGAUGACGUCAAGUCCUCAUGGCCCUUACGUGUUGGGCUACACACGUGCUACAAUGGUAUUUACAAAAGGAAGCAAGACGGCGACGUUAAGCAAAUCCUUAAAAAAUACCUCAGUUCGGAUUGCACUCUGCAACUCGAGUGCAUGAAGCUGGAAUUACUAGUAAUCGUGGAUCAGCGUGCCACGGUGAAUGCGUUCCCGGGUCUUGUACACACCGCCCGUCACACCAUGGGAGUUGGUUCUACCUUAAGGCAAGGUUUUAAACCCUUGACCACGGUAUAGUCAGCGACUGGGGUGAAGUCGUAACAAGGUAGCCGUAGGGGAACCUGCGGCUGGAUUACCUCCUUUCUAAGGAUGAGUGAAAUAUUAUUUCACUCUAAAUAAUAUACAGGUUAAUGUUGACCGUCCUCAUUUCUCUUCUUAAAGUAGUGUUUCUCUUGCAUGGGGGCCGGUAGCUCAGUUGGUUAGAGCACACCCUUGAUAAGGGUGGGGUCGAAAGUUCGAGUCUUUCUCGGCCCACCAAUUCUAGAUCAUGGGGGAUUAGCUCAGCUGGGAGAGCGCCUGAUUUGCAUUCAGGAGGUCAGCGGUUCGAUCCCGCUAUCCUCCACCAAACACUUAGUUAUAAAAUAUCGUAAAAAAAAUAAUUAAUAUCAAUAUCUAUAUCCGAACAUUAGUAAUGUUAUUAGCUAGUGUUCAUUAAUAAAAAUUUGAUUCAACACAGAAUUUUUUUCUG